GAUGAACGCUGGCGGCGUGCUUAACACAUGCAAGUCGAACGGAAAGGCCCAAGCUUGCUUGGGUACUCGAGUGGCGAACGGGUGAGUAACACGUGGGUGAUCUGCCCUGCACUUCGGGAGAAGCCUGGGAAACUGCGUCUAAUACCGGGGAGGACCUCUUUUUGGAUGGUGUUCUGGAAAGUUUGUCGGUAUGGGCUGGGCUCGCGGCCUAUCACCUUGUGGGUGGGGUAAUGGCUUACCAAGCCGUCGACCGGUAGCCGGCCUGAGAGGGUGUACGGCGACAUUGGGACUGAGAUACGGCGCAGACUGCAACGGGCGGCAGCAGUGGAGAGUAUUGCACAGUGAGGGCAAGCCUGAUGCGGAGGUGCUGGGUGCGGGAUGACGGCCUUCGGGUUGUGAACUCAUGUCGCUGGAGACGAAGCGGAAGUGACGGUACCUGGAGAAGAAGCACCGGCUAACUACGUG
rnacentral:rRNA from 1 species